UUUUGGAUCCGACUGAGUGGCGAACUGGUGAGUAACACGUGGGUAACCUGCCCAGAAGAAGGGGAUAACACCUGGAAACAGAUGCUAAUACCGUAUAACAACAAGAACCACAUGGUUCUUGUUUGAAAACUGGCCUUUGUGCUAGUGCUUCUGGAUGGACCCGCGGCGUAUUAGCUAGUUGGUGAGAUAAUAGCUCACCAAGGCAAUGAUACGUAGCAGACCUGAGAGGGUAAUCUGCCACAAUGGGACUGAGACACGGCCCAUACUCC
rnacentral:rRNA from 1 species